GAUGAACGCUGGCGGCGUGCCUAAUACAUGCAAGUCGAGCGAACGGACGAGAAGCUUGCUUCUCUGAUGUUAGCGGCGGACGGGUGAGUAACACGUGGAUAACCUACCUAUAAGACUGGGAUAACUUCGGGAAACCGGAGCUAAUACCGGAUAAUAUUAUGAACCGCAUGGUUCAAAAGUGAAAGACGGUCUUGCUGUCACUUAUAGAUGGAUCCGCGCUGCAUUAGCUAGUUGGUAAGGUAACGGCUUACCAAGGCAACGAUGCAUAGCCGACCUGAGAGGGUGAUCGGCCACACUGGAACUGAGACACGGUCCAGACUCCUACGGGAGGCAGCAGUAGGGAAGCUUCCGCAAUGGGCGAAAGCCUGACGGAGCAACGCCGCGUGAGUGAUGAAGGUCUUCGGAUCGUAAAACUCUGUUAUUAGGGAAGAACAUAUGUGUAAGUAACUGUGCACAUCUUGACGGUACCUAAUCAGAAAGCCACGGCUAACUACGUG
rnacentral:rRNA from 1 species